AAAUGCGAUAAGUAAUGUGAAUUGCAGAAUUCAGUGAAUCAUCGAAUCUUUGAACGCACAUUGCGCCCGCCAGAAUUCUGGCGGGCAUGCCUGUUCGAGCGUCAUUUCAACCCUCGAGCUCCCCUUUCGGGGGGAGCCCGGCGUUGGGGACCCGGCGCUAACAACGCCGGCCCCGAAAUGGAGUUGCGGCCCGUCCGCGGCGACCUCUGCGUAGUAACAACCACUCGCACCGGGACCCGGGCGCGGCCACGCCGUAAAACACCCCACCUUCCGAAUGUUGACCUCGAAUCAGGUAGGAAUACCCGCUGAACUUAAGC
rnacentral:misc_RNA from 1 species